AUGCCAGCAAACCCAGCGCAUUUAACCAUGGCAAGGCGACUGGGAAUAUGGACGAAUACAAACAGUGUAGUUAUUCCCUCCGUAAGGCAAUCAAACAAACAAAACGUCAGUAUAGAGACAAAGUGGAGUCGCAAUUCAACAGCUCAGACACAAGACGUAUGUGGCAGGGUCUACAGACAAUCACGGACAACAAAGGAUAACACAGUGCCACCGACGCGGCCCACUACCAAGGACUGUGGGCUCUCCUUUUCCGUGGCCGACGCGAGUAAGACAUUUAAGCGUGUUAACCUUCAAAAGGCUGCCGGCCCAGACGGCAUCCCUAGCCGUAUCCUCAGAGCAUGCACAGACCAGUUGGCUGGAGUGUUUAUGGAAAUAUUCAAUCUCAUCCUAUCCCAGUCUGCUGUCCCCACAUGCUUCAAGAUGGCCACCAUUGUUCCUGUACCCAAGAAAUCAAAGGUAACUGAGCUAAAUGACUAUCGCCCCAUAGCACUCACUUCUGUCAUCAUGAAGUGCUUUGAGAGACUAGUCAAGGAUCAUAUCACCUCUACCUUACCUGACACCCUAGACCCGCUUCAAUUUGCUUACCUCCCCAAUAGAUCCACAGAUGAUGCAAUUGCACUGCACACUGCCCUAUCCCAUCUGGACAAGAGGAAUACCUAUGAAGAAUGCUGUUAUAGCUCAGCAUUCAACACCAUAGUACCCUCCAAACUCAUCAUUAAGCUUGGGGCCCUGGGUCUGAACCCCGCCCUGUGCAACUGGGUCCUGGACUUCCUGACGGGCCGCCCCCAGGUGGUGAAGGUAAGAAACAAUACCUCCACUUCGCUGAUCCUCAACACAGGGGGCCCACAAGGGUGUGUGCUCAGCCCCCUCCUGUACUCCCUGUUCACCCAUGUCUGUGUGGCCACGCAUGCCUCCAACUCAAUCAUCAAGUCUGCAGAUGACACAACAGUAGUAGGCCUGAUUACCAACAAUGAUGAGACAGCCUGCAGGGAGGAGGUGAGGGCCCUGGGAGUGUGGUUCCAGGAAAACAACCUCUCACUCAACGCCAAGAAAACAAAGGAGCUGAUCGUGGACUUCAGGAAGCCGCAGAGGGAGCACCCCCCUAUCCACAUCGAAGGGACCGCAGUGGAGAAGGUGGAAAGCUUCAAGUUCUUCAGUGUACACAUCACUGACAAACUAAAAUGGUCCACCCACACAGACAGUGUUGUGAAGAAGGCGCAACAGCGCCUCUUCAACCUCAGGAGGCUGAAGAAAUGUGUCUUGGCACCUAAAACCAUCACAAACUUUUACAGAUGCACAAUUGAGAGCAUCCUGUCGGGCUGUAUCACCUCCUGCAACCGCAGGGCUCUCCAGAGGGUGGCUCUCCAGAGAGUGGUGCUUCACCGAGGGCAAACUACCUGCCCUCCGGGACACCUACACCACCCGAUGUCACAGGAAGGCCAAAAAGAUCAUCAAGGACAACAACCACCCGAGCCACUGCCUGUUCACCCCGCUAUCAUUUAG
rnacentral:lncRNA from 8 species